CCUACGGGAGGCAGCAGUAGGGAAUUUUCGUCAAUGGGCGCAAGCCUGAACGAGCAAUGCCGCGUGAACGAGGAAGUUCUUCGGAUCGUAAAGUUCUGUUGAAGGGGAAAAAGAGCGGAGAGCGGAAAUGGUCUCCGAUUGAUAUUACCCUUCGAGGAAGUCACGGCUAACUACGUGCCAGCAGCCGCGGUAAUACGUAGGUGGCGAGCGUUAUCCGGAAUGAUUGGGCGUAAAGGGUCCGUAGACGGCCUGCGAAGUCUGGGGUGAAAGGUACCGGCUCAACCGGGACAGGCUCUGGAAACUGGCGGGCUAGAGAGCAGGAGAGGGCGGUGGAACUCCAUGUGUAGCGGUAAAAUGCGUAGAUAUAUGGAAGAACACCAGUGGCGAAGGCGGCCGCCUGGCCUGUUACUGACGCUGAGGCACGAAAGCGUGGGGAGCAAAUAGGAUUAGAUACCCGUGUAGUC
rnacentral:rRNA from 1 species